rnacentral:sRNA from 1 species
CCCUAGCCCUGAUGGAAGCGGCAUCCUUUUUUGAGGUUUUUUAACCGAAAAAAAGAUAAAGCGAACAGCAGGAAAUAGC